GGUCCUGUAGGAUAACGGUUAGUCCGAAGGUUUCUGAUCUUUGACUUGGUCACGAAUUCCUUAAGCCGCGGUUCGACUCCGCGCAGGACCU